rnacentral:rRNA from 1 species
GAUGAACGCUAGCGACAGGCUUAACACAUGCAAGUCGAGGGGCAUCACAGUGUAGCAAUACACGGGUGGCGACCGGCGCACGGGUGCGUAACACGUAUCCAAUCUGCCCGUUACUCGGGGAUAGCCUUCUGAAAGGAAGAUUAAUACCCGAUGGCAUGUAUUUCCGGCAUCGGAGAUACAUUAAAGAUUUAUCGGUAACGGAUGAGGAUGCGUACGAUUAGCUGGUUGGCGGGGUAACGGCCCACCAAGGCUACGAUCGUUAGGGGUUCUGAGAGGAUGAACGGCCACAUUGGGACUGAGACACGGCCCAGACUCCUACGGGAGGCAGCAGUGAGGAAUAUUGGUCAAUGGUCGGAAGACUGAACCAGCCAAGUAGCGUGAAGGAUGAAGGUUCUAUGGAUUGUAAACUUCUUUUGUAUGGGAAUAAAGCCCGCUACGUGUAGCGGUUUGUAUGUACCAUACGAAUAAGCAUCGGCUAACUCCGUGCCAGCAGCCG